rnacentral:lncRNA from 1 species
CAGUGCAUUGUCAUAUGCCAGUUUAUUAACCAGCUGAAAAGAAGACUCUAAUUGGUUAUGGUAAUAGAAAUGUUAAGUCACAGGAGCAACAAUCUUAACUGCAAAGAAGAGAAGACAGCAAAGAAAAGAGGAAAAUAAACAGUGUGAUAGCUAAAGUAGCAAUAAGGUUCAGAGAGUGAUGGGAGUGGUAAGCAGGAAAUAUUCAGCAAGACAGGACAACAGAGAAAACUCCUGGCCAUGAGAACAUGAAAAACUGUGCCAGGGGUAGGGGUAGUAGCUCCUGAAGACGUAGUAAGCAGAGCUAAACCUUUAUUUAUAAUGACCACAGCUCUAACCCAGAAAGAGCAUCACUUAGUAAAGCUUAGGUAUUCCAACUACAGAAUUCUGCCAUCAAAGCGUGGACUUGGAAAACAGACUUGUGGUUGCUGAGGGCGGGAGCAGGAGGGACUGGGAGUCUCAGGGGUCAAUAGAUGCAUUUGGAGUGGAUAAGCAAGGAGAUCCUGCUGUAUAGCACAGGGAACUAGAUCUAGUCACUUGCGAUGGAACAUGAUAGAGGAUAAUGUGAGAAAAAGAAUGUGUGUAUGUAUGUGUGUGUGUGACUGGGUCACUUUGCUGUACAGUAGAAAAUUGACAGAACACAGUAAACCAACUAUAAUGGAAAAAAUAAAAAUCGUUAAAAAAUAAUUCUGCUAUCCAAUUGGAGCUGGGAAAAGAUGUGAAGCAGCAUUCAGUGAAUAAAGAAGAUAUUUAUCAAAAUGACCAGAGGGCCAUUUUAUUAUACCACAUGAGGUAACAGACAGGGCUUGAGAGUGUGAAUUUCCAGUCAUUUAACAAAAUCAAUUCAUGUGGAAGUUCUUUGCCUGUCAGUCUAGAUUUGAUGUUCAUUAUGAAAUAAAGUUAAACUGACUGCUAUCAUUGGCUCUACCUAUUGCACAUUAAAUUCCAGUAAUUUUGUGAAUAACAGCUAUUAAGGGAAAGAACUAUUUCCUUUAAUUAGUAUAACAUAUUGUAGGACGGAAACUCAGGGACCUGUAUUCUCAUUACACGUUAAGUCAGUAUGAAUAUGUUACUGAACUAUUCAUUUGACCUAUGUAGAGCUGUUUAAAAUGAGGUUAAAACUAUAUCACAUUGGGUCCUUUUAAGCUCAGUUAUUCCUUAGUGUUACUUACAUUAUAUUCAAGUAACUUACCAAUAAAAUGUAAUAGUUUUCACACGCAGCAAAAAAAAUCAAGCUUUUAAGCUUAUUUUCAUUUUACUGAAAAAAAAAAAAAAAAGUUCUACCAGCAUGCUUCUCAAACUUUAAUGUCCAAAUGGAUCUCACCUGUCAAUCUUGUUAAAACGUAGAUUCAGCGUGUCAGAGACAGGCAGGGCUAGAUUUCUAAAGCUGCCAGGUGAUACUGCCGUUGGUCCGGGGACUGCAUUUUGAGUAGCAAAUUUCUAGGAUCUGAAGAAACUGUAAUGCUGAUAAGCUAAGCUAGUGAUGAUGACUAAGAAUAAAAUACUACAAGGAAAAUAUUCCACAAAGUCUGAGAUGAAACACAUUCGGGAUUUGUGCUAACAUGGGAGAUGAGAAGAGAGUGGAAGAACAAGAUCCCAAGUUGCUAAGUGAUGGAGGUUUGUCAUCGUUUUCUAACGCUUGCUGCCAAUCAAGGGGAGCACUUUCUGUCCACUGAAAUGAGGGUGACAUGAUGUUGCACGGAGGGUGGCUAUACUGUGAGGCUGGAAAAGGAUCUACGUGUACUUAAGAAUCUCACACACAAUUUCAACCUUUAAAACACUAAUAAUGGUUCCUUAUUUUUUAAAUCUUUGCCCUUAGAAGACUCAGCUUACUUGGCACUUACUGAGAAGCAACUGAUUUGAAAACCUUAAAGUUGAUUAAAUGUCAUGAGGUCUGAUAAGGGGAUGAUCAAAGUUCAGAAUCCUCACCUUAAGAAAUAUAUAUAUACGUAUACAUAUAUAGUGUGUUGAGGAGUUCCCAUCGUGGCUCAGUGAUUAACAAUGCUACCUAGUAUCCAUGAGGAUACAGGUUAGGUCUCUGGCCUUGCUCAGUGGGUUAAGGAUCUGACAUUGCCAUGAGCUGUGGUGUAGACCACAGACAGCUCAGAUCCUGUGUUGCUGUGGCUGUGGUGGAGGCCGGCAGCUGAAGCUCUGAUUAGACCCCUAGCCUGGGAACCUCCAUAUGCUGCAGAUGCAGCCCUAGGAGGGGAAAACUACUGAAUUUAAAAAUACUAAAUCCAGGGUAAUGACUACCUUUAGAAAAGGGAUGCAUAGGGCCCAAGAUCAGGAAGAGUAUAAAGAUGUCACUUCAGUCUCAUGUUUUGUUUAAGUCAUACAUUAAAACUACACAUAAAGUAUGGGAAUUAUCAGGUGGUUAGAGUUGAGCAGUAAGUGCAAGGGUAGUAUUCCAUUUUUUCCUUAAUGGGGGCAAUCUGACGCUGACACUCAACAUUUAAGCUUUAUUUGCAAAAUCUAAAAGAUAUUAGAGGGAAUAAGUGUAUUUUAGAAUAAAGACAGGGUUUUGAUAACUGGUACGCAUA